rnacentral:rRNA from 1 species
AAACUAACAAGGAUUCCCCUAGUAACGGCGAGCGAAGCGGGAAGAGCUCAAAUUUGAAAUCUGGGGCCUCAGGUAUCCGAGUUGUAAUCUAUAGAAGUGUUUUCCGUGCUGGCCCAUGUACAAGUCCCUUGGAACAGGGCGUCAUAGAGGGUGAGAAUCCCGUCCUUGACAUGGACUACCAGUGCUCUGUGAUACACUUUCAACGAGUCGAGUUGUUUGGGAAUGCAGCUCAAAAUGGGUGGUAAAUUCCAUCUAAAGCUAAAUAUUGGCGAGAGACCGAUAGCGAACAAGUACCGUGAGGGAAAGAUGAAAAGCACUUUGGAAAGAGAGUUAAACAGUAUGUGAAAUUGUUGAAAGGGAAACGAUUGAAGUCAGUCGUGCUCAAUGGACUCAGCCGUUCUGCGGUGUAUUUCCAUUGGGUGGGGUCAACAUCAGUUUUGAUCGCUGGAUAAAGGCAGGAGGAAUGUAGCACCCCCGGGUGAACUUAUAGCCUCUUGUCACAUACAGUGGUUGGGACUGAGGAACGCAGCAUUAUGCUUAGGAUGUUGACAUAAUGGCUUUAAACGACCCGUCUUGAAACACGGACCA